CACGGAGCUUGCUCUGUGGGAUCAGUGGCGAACGGGUGAGUAACACGUGAGCAACCUGCCCCUGACUCUGGGAUAAGCGCUGGAAACGGCGUCUAAUACUGGAUACGAGUAGCGGCCGCAUGGUCAGUUACUGGAAAGAUUUUUUGGUUGGGGAUGGGCUCGCGGCCUAUCAGCUUGUUGGUGAGGUAAUGGCUCACCAAGGCGUCGACGGGUAGCCGGCCUGAGAGGGUGACCGGCCACACUGGGACUGAGACACGGCCCAGACUCCUACGGGAGGCAGCAGUGGGGAAUAUUGCACAAUGGGCGGAAGCCUGAUGCAGCAACGCCGCGUGAGGGAUGACGGCCUUCGGGUUGUAAACCUCUUUUAGCAGGGAAGAAGCGAAAGUGACGGUACCUGCAGAAAAAGCGCCGGCUAACUACGUGCCA
rnacentral:rRNA from 1 species